UACGUAGGGUGCAAGCGUUGUCCGGAAUUAUUGGGCGUAAAGAGCUCGUAGGCGGUUUGUCGCGUCUGCUGUGAAAACUCGGGGCUUAACUCCGGGCCUGCAGUGGGUACGGGCAGACUAGAGUGCGGUAGGGGAGACUGGAAUUCCUGGUGUAGCGGUGAAAUGCGCAGAUAUCAGGAGGAACACCCGUAGCGAAGGCGGCACUCUGGGCCGAUUCUGACACUGAGGAGCGAAAGCGUGGGGAGCGAACAGG
rnacentral:rRNA from 1 species